UUGGGUUUAAGGGUGCGCAGGCGGGGGAUUAGGUCGGCGGUGAAAUAUCAGGGCUCAACCUUGAGAGUGCCGUCGAAACCGGUUUUCUUGAGUGCGGAUGAAGUAGGCGGAAUUUGUGGUGUAGCGGUGAAAUGCGUAGAUAUCACAAAGAACACCGAUUGCGGAGGCAGCUUACUAAACCGCAACUGACGCUCAUGCACGAAGGCGUGGGGAUCAAACAGGAUUAGAUACCCUGGUAGUCCACGCAGUAAACGAUGAUUACUAGCUGUUUGCGAUACAAUGUAGGCGGCUGAGCGAAAGCGUUAAGUAAUCCACCUGGGGAGUACGUUCGCAAGAAUGAAACUCAAAGGAAUUGACGGGGGCCCGCACAAGCGGAGGAACAUGUGGUUUAAUUCGAUGAUACGCGAGGAACCUUACCCGGGCUUGAAAUGCAUCUGACCGGGCCGGAAACGGUCUUUCCCAGCGAUGGGCAGAUGUGUAGGUGCUGCAUGGUUGUCGUCAGCUCGUGCCGUGAGGUGUCGGCUUAAGUGCCAUAACGAGCGCAACCCUCAUCGUCAGUUACCAUCGGGUAAAGCCGGGGACUCUGGCGAGACUGCCAUCGUAAGAUGCGAGGAAGGUGGGGAUGACGUCAAAUCAGCACGGCCCUUAUGUCCGGGGCGACACACGUGUUACAAUGGGCGGUACAGCGGGGAGCUACCUGGCGACAGGGAGCCGAUCCCGAAAGCCGCUCACAGUUCGGAUCGGAGUCUGCAACUCGACUCCGUGAAGUCGGAUUCGCUAGUAA
rnacentral:rRNA from 1 species